rnacentral:rRNA from 1 species
CAGUAGCCGCGGUAAUACGAAGGGGGCUAGCGUUGCUCGGAAUGACUGGGCGUAAAGGGCGCGUAGGCGGAUGGCACAGUCAGAUGUGAAAUUCCCGGGCUUAACCUGGGGGCUGCAUUUGAUACGUGUUGUCUAGAGUGAGGAAGAGGGUUGUGGAAUUCCCAGUGUAGAGGUGAAAUUCGUAGAUAUUGGGAAGAACACCGGUGGCGAAGGCGGCAACCUGGUCCUUGACUGACGCUGAGGCGCGAAAGCGUGGGGAGCAAACAGGAUUAGAUACCCCCGUAGUCCCUGUCUCUUAUAC